rnacentral:lncRNA from 1 species
GGGCCAUGUGUAUGUAUGACUGAGUCCUUUUGCUGUACAGCAGAAACUGGCACAACGUUGUAAAUCAAUUACACGUUAAUUAAAAAAAUAUAUAUGGGCCAGAUUUGGCCUGUGGUCCAAAUUAGCUCAUAACCCCUAGAGGAUAGGGUACCAUGAGAGAUGAGGCUUAGGAGGGUGGCCUGGUUUGGGGAUCUCUAGAGACUAUGUUAAAAGGCCUGACCUUGGCCCCAUGAAUAAGGGGGUGUGUCUCCUUCUCAUAUGCUUUUUUUUUUUUUUAAAGGACUGCACAGCUGUAGCUCCAAUUCAACCUCUAGCCUGGGAACCUCCGUAUGCCGCAGACGCAGCCCCAAAAAGACACACACACACACACACACACACACACACACACACACACACACACACACACACACAGGAAUGGAACAGGAACACCAGAAGGAGAGCAGGGCAGAAGCUGCAGUAGGCCUGCUUGUCUCUGAGUCUGGAUGCAGGCAGAAGUGGCUAGAAAUCUGGGAUAACAGAUUUACGCAUAACUCCAGCUAUGGAGUGCUGGAUACAAAGCCUGGAGUUAGAGCUGAUACACUGCUGGAACCCAGGGGCUGGGAAAGUAGUCUGAAAACAGUUGCUGUAACCCAUUCCCUGGGGCUGGGGCUUAUUACAAAGAUGCUUACCUAGGGAGACAGGGCCUGGAGCUAAGCUAAGUUGCUACUGUGAGAUUUGAUUCUAGACCAGGAGACCCAGAGGACCUGGGGAGGCAAAGGAGAAAAUCCCCAGAUGAAGAAGGGAUGAGCUUAUAUACUCAGAAAUAUGAGGGAAACUAAUAUGAAAGAAGAACAAAAUCAGAGGAAAAUUUAUCCCCAAAGAAAUGAAAAUAACAGAGUAGUCAGAAAAUACAUUUAGUAGAAAUAGGUUAAGGAUCCUUGAGGCUAUUAGCGAAACAAGAAAUUUGUUAAAGAAAGGUAAAUUAUAAAAGAAACAAGAAUAUGUAAACAUGAAAACUUUACAUUAAAAAUUGUAGGAGUUCCCAUUGUGGCUCAGCAGGUUAAGGACCUGACGUAGUCUCUGUGAGGAUGCAAGUUUGAUUCCCCAGCCCUGCACAGUGAGUUAAGGAUCUAGCAUUGCUGCAGCUGUGGUGUAGGUCACAGCUCUGGCUCGGAUUCAGUCCCUGGCCCUGGAACUUCCAUAUGCUGUGAGUGCAGCUGGAAAAGAAAAAAAAAAGAAUGAGGUGAAAUAAAGAUAUUUCUGUACCUGCUAAGACAGUUUUAUUACCUACACGUCCUUGCUAGAAGAACUACUAAAGGUUUGUAUUUCAAUAAGGAGAAAACUUGGGGAGAGGAGCAGAUUGCUAGCAGCAAAACCAAGUGCAGAAAUUGAUGUGCGUUGGUAAAUUAACUGUAGACAGUGUAUCAGGAUGCUCACGUCACCCACAGGGACUUAAACUCCAGAAGAUAUUUAACUAGCUUGUAAUGAGAAGUUGGAGGGAGGGAGUUCCAAGUUUGGAGCAUUAGUCCAGUACUGACUUGAGGAACCCUAGGUCAUUCCAUUGUUCUUCUCUGCUGUCAUAAGGGUAUAAGAGCUCUCUCCUCAUGGUUGUAAGAUGGCUGCUGCAGCUCCAGGUAUUAUAUCACCUUAGAGCAUCCUAAGCAGGAAGGGUAGGAAAUGCUAAGAGAAAGGAAGCUUUCUAAUGUGCCUCUUUUCUAAGAAGGAGAAUCUUUCCAGGGAAGCCCCAGCAGACAUCUCAUGCUUCAUUGACCUGAGCUGGUUCAUCCUUAGACCAAUUCCUGGUAAAAUGGAACAGGCUUAUCUUAUCUCCUGGGACUGGGUUCUUUGCUGCCUGAACAAAAUCAGGAUUCUUUUGGCAAGAAAAAAGGGGGAAUGGCUGCUAGUAGGCAACCAACAGUGUCGGCCACAGAUGGCAAAACGCACUGAACAGAAACCCAGAAUCUAGUUUGUUUUAGUUUUAAAAUAGGAAAACUAAAAUCGUUGGCCACAUUAUCAAGGAAGAAUCAGGUAGAAUAAGGAAGGGAAUUUCAUUGUUAAAUCACAUCACAUUUCUGCCUUGUUAAAGGGAAAUACCGCUGCUGAAAACUGUAGACCUCAUUAGGAAAAUAUGUAUCUGCUAACAAUUUAAGAUAACCACUUUAGUUAGUUAGAAGAAAGAAUUUCCAAUCCAGAAGGAAAAAUAUUGGGAGUGGGGGUAGUGUGUCAAUCCAACACAAGUUAGGAAAAGAAAAGAGAACUAAAGAAAAAUUAGUGGAGUUCCUGUUGUGGUAUAGCAGAAACAAAUCCGACUAGUAUCCAUGAGGAUGCAGGUUCACUCCCUGGCCUCACUCAGUGCGUCAGGGAUCCAGUGUUGUAGUGAGCUGUGGUAUAUAGGUCGCAGAUGCGGCUUGGAUCUUGGAUCCCACGUUGCUGUGGCUGGGGCGUAGGCUGGCAGCCAUAGCUCUGAUUUAAUCCCUAGCCUGGGAACCUCCAUGUUUCAUGGGUUCGGCCCUAAAUUUGAAAGAAAAGAAAAACUACCAGACUGAAUAAAAUGCAAAUAAGAAGUAAUCUGGAGAGACUGAUCAGUAGGAACCUAACAGGAACUGCCCUUGCUUUUCUCACACAGGUGGUUCUGUGUUUUUAGACAAUUUUCAGUUCCCUGCGCCAUCCACCCACCUCUCCUCAAAGUUGAGCUUUGACUUGCUUUUUUUUUUUUUUUUUUGCCCCCCCUGCAACAUGCAAAAGUUCCUGGGCCAGGGAUCAAACCUGCACCAAUACUGGAUCCUUAAACACUCUCCACCAGGGAACUCCUGCCUUGCUAAUGAGAUAGUAUUGUUUUCCUAGACUGCUUUAUUCCUGCUGUAGAUGUGUAUAGCAAAUUCCUGGACUUCCCCCUCCACCACCCCUACACACCAAGAAACCACACUGGGACUCUUAAGGGGCAGGUUUGGAGCAGAGCUGGGACCCCAUAUCCCAGCUGUCCCCCUUCCCCAUGCUUCACAACCCAGCUUUCCUCCCCUUAGAGCCUGUUCCUUUGGGGGCAGCAUCCAUCCUCUUGCGAUGGAGACUGAUGGUUUAUUUCUCUGGGACUUCCUUGAAAGUUACCAGAGUGAUGAUCAUAGGAUGGAAGAAAUGCGUAAGUUCUCACUUUCUGAUUUCCUGCCUGCUAACUCUGGGCAGCAUCAGAAGUACCAGAGCUGAGAUCACAGACUGGACAGCAUGUCAGAGUGAGUGUCCUGCAGGAAGGCAGGAGCGCCUGAAGCAGAGGCUGCUGGAGGGAUCGUAAUUGAUGAGCGUGGUAGACUGAGUCACUAGGGUAACAGUGAGGGGUUUAUGCCAGAGGCUGGCGCCAGCAGGUUGCAAUGUGAGGACUUCAGUUAGCCAAGCAUGUGGAAGUGAAGCAGCCAGUUUUCAGACACAUCAAGGACGUGCUUCUCUGGGCUUGAGUUGAGUAUAAGGGAGGGGCUGUCAGGUCUCUUCCUCCAGAUGAUGACAGGCACUCCAGGGCAUCUUCUGCCAGGGUUGGCUGUUGCCACACUCAGGAAGCAGGGCGUUUGCUGGGUUGUUAGGUUGGCAGGGUUCUGGGACACAGGGAACCUUCUGAUGGUUGUACUCCAGUUAGUGGAGAAAGCCUCUCUGGAUGGCAGUGAAUGCUUGUGGAAGGAGCACUGGCCUUGGAGCCAUCAGAUCUGGAAUGUAUUAACGCUCCGUCGCUUAUCGCCUGGCUGACCUCGUUUUGCUGUCUUGGGACUUCUGCGAAUACUGAAUGAGAGGCUAUGCCUGCAAAUGCUCAGAAACUCAUAAAGCAUCAUGCAGUGUGCGUACUAAUCUGUGGUUUGAUGCCUUUACACUGAGGCUCUGGGACACAUCCUCAGGCUGUGUGUCAGUGGGUGGAAAGAGGGUGCUUUAUCAGUGUCUCGGGCCAGGAUUUUUUUCUUUCUCCCCACCCCUUCCAAUUCAAGCAGCCUCCCUCCCUCCAUCCUCCGUGCCUUAUUUUGACAUUUCUUUUCUCUGCCUGCCAAGAAGAUUGUGUUCAGCUGUGCUGGUCUGAGGCUGUGCUAUCCUGUGCUUCGUUAGGUUAAUUCGAUGGCUUGUCUUCUGGGAACUGACUGGGGACUAGCUCUAAAACCCUGCUAGCCUCUAAAACCCAAUCCCCACUGUUUUCCUUGGGGCAAGCUUUGCCGCUGAAUCCCACACACCUUCGUUUUCUCUCCUCCACGCAGGAGCCGGCAAGGGCCUGCUUUGGCCCCACCUUGGUUCCUUGUAUUGGCAAAAUUGCUCAAGCAUGCAUCCUCUGAUUGGUAGAAGGCUCUAAGGGAGACCAUCAAAGCUGCCCCUGACCUUCUGGAUUCUGGUUGCUAGUUUCUCUGUUCAGCCUCAGCAUCUUAAACUUGACCAGCCAUUCAGGGGAUAUUUGUUGUUAAAUGGUCUCACCAUAUUUGCUAAAUUUGUGACCACAAACCUCUUGGAAGACCCUAGCAUUGCCUACCACUAAAUUUCCCUCAUUACUCCCCUUCUCUCUUAGAGGACCAUUCACUCCUGUUUUCUGUAAUCCUCCAGCCCCAGCAUCAAAGGUGUGUCACUCCCUGUGCCCAUGCUUUGCUUCACCUCCUGCUAUACAGGUCGACCUCCAUGUGGGCACUGCCUCUCCCUACCUCUUGCUCUGUUCUUGCUACUUAAGGACUUGCUUCGUAAUUAUCCUCUUUUUUUUUUUUUUUUUUUUUUUUCUACAGCAUUAACCUCUCCCUCUUCUGAACCAUCCCCACCAGCAUUCUGUAAUAUUUCCCAUUCCACUUUAUCUCAUUCCCCUUUUUUGGUAACACCUUUAUUGAGAUAGAAUUCAUGUUCCAUGCUCUUCAUCUAUUUCAGUUGUACAAGUCAGUUGGUUUUAGUUUAGUCACAUGGUUAUGCAAUCCUAGACCACAAACAAUCUUAGAACAUUUCAUCACCCCAGGAGGAAACUCCAUACCCAUUACCAGUCACUCCCCAUCUCUUCCAACCCCUAGCCCUGAGCAAUUACUAAUCUACUUUAUGGAUGUGUCUAUUCUGGACAUUUCAUAUAAAUGGAAUCACAUCAUGUGUAGUCUUUUGUGUCAGGCUUCUUUCACUUAGCAUCAUGUUUUCAAGGUUCAUCCAUGUAUCAGUGCUUCAUUUCUUUUUAUGGCUGAAUAAGAUUCCAUUGUAUGGAUAUUAGAUGUUUUGCUUACUCAUCAGUUGAUGGGACUUGGAGUUCUUUCCACUUUGGAGCUAAUAUGAAUAAAGCUUCUAUCAUUUGUGUAUGUAUUUUUGUGCGGAUAUAUAUUUCUCUUGGGUGUAGACCUAGGAUUAAAAUUGCUGAGUCAUAUGUUAACUCUGUUUAAUCUUCUGUCUGCCAGACUGUUUUCCAAAGUGGCUGCGCCAUUUUUCAUUCUCACCAGCAAUGUAUGAGGGUUACAAUUUCUCCAUCUCUUCCUUAAUACCUGUUAUUAUCUGUCUUUUUGAUUAUAGCCAUCCUUGUAGGUGGGAAGUGGUAUCUGAUUGUGGUUUUGAUGUGUAUUUCCCUGAUAGCAAAUGAUGCUGAGCAUCUUUUCAUCUGCUUGUUGGCCAUUUCUCAUCCAGUCAGAUGUUUGCCCCUUCCAUACUUUUGGAUCAGCCACUGUGAAGGUCACUGCUGACAGCCUUCUCUUAUCUAUGUCAGACCUUCCCUCGAUAAUUUCUUCUGGUCCUGUAGUUUUAAAAGGGAACUGUACUCAGGUGACUCUCAAAUGUAUCCCUCCAGCUCUGACCUCUUCCAUGAGCCUUAGACAUCUGUGUCCUGCUGCCUGUUGCCAUUUCCACAUGGACUGUUAAAGGGCAUCUCAAAUUGAACCUGUCAUCAACAGAACUCUUGCUUUUUUUUACUCCUGAAAACCCAUUUCUCUCCUGACUUUUCUGCAUGAAUGAAUGGCAUCCCACCACCAGGUUGCUCAGGCCACAAGCUGAGUCCUGAUUUGGUCUUCCCUGCCCACCCACCACCCUCCAUCUAGCCCAUCCGUUAAGCCCUUCACAAUACAUCCAGCUACUUCUCACCACCUCCGCUGCCUGGGUUUUUGAAGUAGCUCCUCUCUGGUCCCCGGCUCAUCUUACACAGCAGCCAGAGAAGUUCCUUAGCAAAAAAAUAUUUUAACCUAAAAACUAAAACAAAUUAGACUUUAUUGUGAAAUGCAUCACACAUUCAGAAUAGUAUAUAUCGGAGUUCCCGUCGUGGCGCAGUGGUUAACGAAUCCGACUAGGAACCAUGAGGUUGCGGGUUCGGUCCCUGCCCUUGCUCAGUGGGUUAACGAUCCGGCGUUGCCGUGAGCUGUGGUGUAGG